GAUGAUCUGCUCUCCAUGAUGAAUAGAAAUCAAACUGUUUUUCUGAGUCAGAGGAGAGAGAUCCUCUCCUCUCCUCUCUGCUCUGCUCCGCUCCCCUCCCCUCUCCAUCCCAGCUCUCCUGUCAUCCUUUCAGUGUCCUUACCCUCCCCCCAAGUAAUUCCUAUGCUUUAAUACCAUCUAAGAGUCCUUAGUGAGAAGAGGAUCUGCUUGCUAUGCAGGUGCAAGUUUUCAGCACCACAGCACAACAGCAAUGCCACCCGCUCUGCCCUCCUCAGGGCUUCUCUUUGUGAGCCACUUUUUCUUUUCUUCCUUUUCAGCUCCGUGCUGAACAACCCCAUGCAGAUAAUCUGAUUAUGCUAAUUUGUACUUCAUGAACCCAAAGUAAGGGGAUCUGCGAAGGGAGCUAACAGAAUCCCAGUUUGAUUUUACAUCAUCUUUGCUGUAGCUGGAACUGGCCAGGAAACAACCCUGAGAAAAAAAUAUAUAAAGGGUAUGGGAAAAAAAAUUCAAGAUUAAAGCAACCCCAGAAUUGUUUGCACUGGCAGAGACCCCCUGACAUCAUCUAGUCUAGGCCUUCUGCUCAAGCCAUAUCACCUAGAGUUGUUUGCUCAGAACUGUACCCAGUCAAGUAUCUCCACAUAUCCUUUGUUAUUACACGGGAAAAUGGGAGAGAGAAGGAAGAGAAUAGCUCUGCACUCUGCCUGAAAUAGGACAGCUCCUCUUUCUCAUGCAGAACAGACUGUUUGUUCAGUCCUGCACCUCUAAGAAGAAUGCCUCUGGACACCAUUUUAUGAAAGCUAAUGGAAGAGGAAAAGAAAAUCCUGAGCAGCUGGAUGAAGCAGGCCCACAGCUGCUGCGUUACCUACCUGUGAUGAAAGGCAUGAAAAUUUGAAAGGAGACAGGACCAGACCUUCUGUAGGAAAACUGGAAAAGGAGGGUAAUUGGUGUGAUGAAGCUGGAAGGUGAGAAAAGGUAAAGGUGGGGCCUGAGUAUAUGGGAAUUGACUGAAGGCAUGCAUGCAGAAGUAAGGUGACAAAAGUGGAAUGAAUAAUCAGAUUCUCAAAGACUGACAGGUGUACUGAGCCAU
rnacentral:lncRNA from 1 species